AGUAAAAGUCGUAACAAGGUUUCCGUAGGUGAACCUGCGGAAGGAUCAUUAUUGGUUUGGGCCUCUUGAGCUGGCAUGCAGGUGCUCGGAGGCCGGCUUACUACACCCCUGUGCACUUUGAACGUGGUUGGGUUGAGGCGUAAUGGCCUCGCUUAGCCGUGUUAUUAUACACACUGUAUUGUCUUGUCGAAUGGUUCAUAUAUGAGAAUACAACUUUCAACAACGGAUCUCUUGGCUCUCGCAUCGAUGAAGAACGCAGCGAAAUGCGAUAAGUAAUGUGAAUUGCAGAAUUCAGUGAAUCAUCGAAUCUUUGAACGCACCUUGCGCUCCUUGGUAUUCCGAGGAGCAUGCCUGUUUGAGUGUCAUGUACUUCUCAAUCCCCGCUGUGUUGUGCAGUGGGGCUUGGAUGUGGAGGCUGCUGGCGUCGCGUCGGCUCCUCUGAAAUGCAUUAGCAGAGCGUAUGCUCGAUGCGACGGUGUAAUAGUUUUUCAUCGGCGCAACUUGCACGAACGUUUGCUUCUAAUCGUCUCGAAAGAGACAACUACUUUGCUAUUGACCUCAAAUCAGGUAGGACUACCCGCUGAACUUAAGCAUAUCAAUAAGCGGAGGA
rnacentral:rRNA from 1 species